rnacentral:sRNA from 1 species
GCCAGGUUCGGUGGCACACACCUGUAAUCCCAGUGGCUCGGGAGGCUGAGGCAGGAGGAUCGCAAGUUCAAAGCCAGCCUUAGCAAAAGCGAGAUGCUAAGCAACUCAGUGAGACCCUGUCUCUA